rnacentral:tRNA from 1 species
AAGAGUUUAGUUUAAAUGAAAAAUAUUAAAUUGUAAGUUUAAAGUUGGGCGCUCUUA